GAUGAACGCUGGCGGCGUGCCUAAUACAUGCAAGUCGAGCGAACAGAUGAGGAGCUUGCUCCUCUGACGUUAGCGGCGGACGGGUGAGUAACACGUGGAUAACCUACCUAUAAGACUGGGAUAACUUCGGGAAACCGGAGCUAAUACCGGAUAAUAUAUUGAACCGCAUGGUUCAAUAGUGAAAGACGGUUUUGCUGUCACUUAUAGAUGGAUCCGCGCCGCAUUAGCUAGUUGGUAAGGUAACGGCUUACCAAGGCAACGAUGCGUAGCCGACCUGAGAGGGUGAUCGGCCACACUGGAACUGAGACACGGUCCAGACUCCUACGGGAGGCAGCAGGAGGGAAUCUGCCGCAAUGGGCGAAAGCCUGACGGAGCAACGCCGCGUGAGUGAUGAAGGUCUUCGGAUCGUAAAACUCUGUUAUUAGGGAAGAACAAAUGUGUAAGUAACUAUGCACGUCUUGACGGUACCUAAUCAGAAAGCCACGGCGAACUACGU
rnacentral:rRNA from 1 species